rnacentral:lncRNA from 1 species
CCAAUGAAAUGCCUAUUUUAAAGGUCAGAUGAAAUAAGGAGCAGAGAUACCAAAGAGUAUCACUGGAUCAUUGAAAUGAGGGUCACUUGUGUUAGGUAUCAGCCCAUUACAAGGUAACAUGGACUUUGGUGAUCCAAAAUAUAUAUAAGGAUAAUAAUUGUAUGUUUAGACAAUUAUUAUAAGAUAUGUCUUGGUCACAAAGAUAGAAGACCUAGUUGGAAUUGGAUUCUGAUUUGAGUUGAAGAUUUAAGAAUUGGAUUUCAAUUGCAGUUAGGUAUUUCAGAUUUAGAGUUAGAUUCUGAUUUGUCUAGUUUGAGAUGGCUAUAUAUACAUAGUCAUAUUGUGUUUGAUAGGUGUGCUCAAGAUGUAGACUUAGGUAUCGCUCGAGGGCGGAUACUUGGGUAGUAGGCUUGAGUAUCCAAGUUUAGUUUGAUUGUAUUAUUGAUAAUGGUUUUGAUUAAUAAUACAAGUUGGGACGUGGAUUUUCCACGUCAAAUAUAUUGUUGUGUGUCCGCUUUGUAUUAGAAGAUUGAAUCUCGUAUAUUAUCUCUAACAAGUGGUAUCAAGAGCCGAGGUUAGGAUCGUGAUUGAUGGGGUUGAGGAUAAAUUCGGGAUUCAAUCGAGAAUGCAGAGUAUGGUGAAUUUUGUUAGCAGGAAUAGGCAAAGUUACGUGCGGUAUGAUGGUUGACUUGCACCGUGGAUCAAUCAUGAUGGACUCAAUAUGGAAGAAGAUUAGAUGGUUCUUCUAGAUCGAGGCCGGAGGAUUGUGAAAGCAAGGAUCGGGUGACUCAUGGAUGGAAGAGCACUCGGGGUUGAUGCACGUGAUUUUGUAGAUGGAUAAAAUUUGGAAGAACGAGACAUGGAGAUUCUUGUUCGAGGGGAGGCAUUGGCGGAUGGACGUCGAUGUCUUGAUCGUGAUUGUUGAUUGUAUUGGGCUGAAGGGGAGGAUUGUUAGGUAUCAGCCCAUUACAAGGUAACAUGGACUUUGGUGAUCCAAAAUAUAUAAGGAUAAUAAUUAUAUGUUUAGACAAUUAUUAUAAGAUAUGUCUUGGUCACAAAGAUAGAAGACCUAGUUGGAAUUGGAUUCUGAUUUGAGUUGAAGAUUCAGAAUUGGAUUUCAAUUGCAGUUAGGUAUUUCAGAGUUAGAGUUAGAUUCUGAUUUGUCUAAUUUGAGAUUGCUAUAUAUACAUAGUCAUAUUGUGUUUGAUAGGUGUGCUCAAGAUGUAGACUUAGGUAUCGCUCGAGGGCGGAUACUUGGUUAGUAGGCUUGAGU